rnacentral:misc_RNA from 1 species
GUGAUUAAAUCGAGCGUGUUCUUCAAUUGACCGCUCACCCUUCUCACCAUCCACAUACACCUGUGCACUGUUUAGCCUGAGCCGGUUUUCCGGUCCAGGUUAUCAUUUUCAUACAAACUCUAGUCUUACGAAUGUAAAACGUUUUAAUAACAUAAUA